rnacentral:misc_RNA from 1 species
ACCUGGUGUCUAUCGGAUUCAAGUUUGACAACAUUUUAAUGGAAGAGUCAGCACAGAUCCUUGAAAUAGAAACAUUCAUCCCAUUAUUGCUACAGAACCCUGAGGACAACAACAAUCGUCUGAAGCGCUGGAUCAUGAUUGGAGACCAUCACGAGCUCCCCCCCUGUCAUCAAGAACAUGGCGUUCCAGAAGUUCUGUAACAUGGAGCAGUCCCUCUUCACACGUCUGGUUAGGCUGGGAGUUCCAACUGUUGACCUCAAGGUCGAGCAAGACCAGGGAUAGCCAGUUUAUACAACUGGAGAUACAAGAAACUGGGCAGUCUAUCUCACGUCAUGGUGCAUCCCGAGUACAAGAAGGCUAAUGCAGGCUUUGUGUUUGACUAUCAACUGAUAGACGUCCAUGACUUCAAUGGUGUGGGCGAAUCUGAACCCAAUCCAUUCUUCUAUCAAAAUUUGGGGGAAGCUGAGUACGUGGUAGCUACGUUUAUGUAUAUGCGGCUUCUUGGUUAUCCUGCUGAGAAGAUCUCCAUCUUAACUACGUACAACGGUCAGAAACACUUGAUCAGGGACGUGAUCAAACAGCGAUGCGGCAGGAAUCAGUUCAUCGGCACACCACACAAGGUGACUACAGUAGACCGUUACCAAGGUCAGCAGAAUGAUUACAUCCUUCUCUCACUCGUCAGGACAAAGACAGUUGGACAUUUAAGAGAUGUGAGAAGAUUGGUAGUGGCCAUGUCUCGAGCCAGACUGGGACUGUAUGUGUUUGGUAGGGUCUCUCUGUUCAGUAAUUGUUUUGAACUCACGCCAACUUUUAACAAGUUGAUGGCCAGACCCUUACAACUUCACAUUGUGCCAUCAGAAGUUUAUCCACCCUCCAGGAAGAUGAAUGAACCAAUCAAAGGAGAAGCAAUGAUCAUGAAAAACAUGCCCCAAAUGGCUCAGUUUGUGUACGACUUCUACAACCAGAAAAUCAACAGACUGAUGUCACAGCACGAGGGAGGGAGGCAGACAAAGGCUGAACCUUUAGAGACACCGCCCAUCAUUGAAGAAAUAAAGGAAGAGAUGCUGGAAACCCAACCAGUGGAAUCACAAGACGUCAAAAUUAAAGGAUGAAAAUUUUGAAAGGACUAAAGUGAAUUCAUGGAACAGUGUAAACUUUUCGUCCCAUCACCUGUGAAUUAAUCCAUUAUCAAACUUCAUAUCAUGGUAGAAGAUUUCAAAAUAAAAUUCCAUUUUAACUAUU